rnacentral:misc_RNA from 1 species
GAUGAAGAACGUAGCGAAAUGCGAUAAGUAAUGUGAAUUGCAGAAUUCAGUGAAUCAUCGAAUCUUUGAACGCACAUUGCGCCCGUCAGUAUUCUGGCGGGCAUGCCUGUUCGAGCGUCAUUACGCCCCUCAAGCCCCCUGUGGACUUGGUGUUGGGGAUCGGCGAGGCUGGUUUUCCAGCACAGCCGUCCCUUAAAUUAAUUGGCGGUCUCGCCGUGGCCCUCCUCUGCGCAGUAGUAAAACACUCGCAACAGGAGCCCGGCGCGGUCCACUGCCGUAAAACCCCCCAACUUUUUAUAGUUGACCUCGAAUCAGGUAGGACUACCCGCUGAACUUAAGCAUAUCAAUAAGCGGAGGA